ensembl:lncRNA
AGGACUCCAGGUGGAAUUGACUGUUUCUGAUAUUGUCCCAGACUCUUAAUUGAAAUAAAGCUAAUAGGGGAAGCAGGUAGCCUAGUGGUUAGAGCGUUGGGCCAGUAACCAGCAGGUAGCCUAGUGGUUAAAGUGUUGGGCCAGUAACUAGCAGGUAGCCUAGUGGUUAGAGCGUUGGGCCAGUAACCAGCAGGGUGCCUAGUGGUUAAAGUGUUGGGCCAGUAACCAGCAGGGUGCCUAGUGGUUAGAGCGUUGGGCCAGUAACCAGCAGGGUGCCUAGUGGUUAGAGCGUUGGGCCAGUGACCAGCAGGGUGCCUAGUGGUUAGAGCGUUGGGCCAGUAACCAGCAGGGUGCCUAGUGGUUAGAGCGUUGGGCCAGUAACCAGCAGGGUGCCUAGUGGUUAGAGCGUUGGGCCAGUAACCAGCAGGGUGCCUAGUGGUUAAAGUGUUGGGCCAGUAACCAGCAGGGUGCCUAGUGGUUAGAGCGUUGGGCCAGUAACCAGCAGGUAGCCUAGUGGUUAAAGUGUUGGGCCAGUAACUAGCAGGUAGCCUAGUGGUUAGAGCGUUGGGCCAGUAACCAGCAGGGUGCCUAGUGGUUAAAGUGUUGGGCCA